AUCUAACUGUCGGAGUCCAUCCAUCGUAGAAGCUCGUCCGAUAUCCAUCCACUAUGGAAGUUCGGUCGAGGUCUGGUUCUUGCAGAAGGCUGAAAGGAGAUCACUUAUUGUAGAAGCUCGAUCAAAGAUUGAUUAUCGUGGGAGCUCAGAGUAGCGAUCUGGCUGGUGGGUCCUAUCCCGCUGUAGAAGCUCGUCUGGGAUCCGACAACGAAGAAGUUUGGCUGAAGUCUACCUGUAAUGGAAGUUCAGAAGAAACGUGUUUACAGUAGGGGCUCGAAUGGAAUUUGCUUACAGUAGAGAUCCGAAGUAGACCGUCCGCUGUAGGAGUUCGGAGUAGACCGCUCGUAGUAGAAGUUCGGAGCAGACCACUCGCUGUAGGAAUUCGGAGUAGACCGCUCGUAGUAGAAGUUCGGCUCUCACAGGAGCCCGAUUAGAAUC
rnacentral:lncRNA from 1 species